GAAGUAGAGUCAUUUCCUCAUAGACGUCUAUGGGAGCAGAGGAGUCGCCCCCUGCUGGUCAGGGGCGAGAAUGCAGCUCUGACUUCACUUCGAAGAACUGCAGAUUGCCUCCUCUGUCUCCAUGGUAACGGAGCCCUGACAGCCUCUCCUACAGCGAGUGAGACUGGACAAACUGCCUCAGACACAAGGUCCCGCUCUGGUUGGUGAAGGCAUCUAAUCGGUGGAGGGGUGCGUGGACCCCCUCCUGUCCUUCCUAAAGUGCAGCACGCCCACCGGCGUAGAAGCCCUGGACCCUAUGGGAAAACGGAAACGAUUGGGUCCAAUGUGGGCGGAGCUGACCCCCCCAUGGAGCCUUUGAUGCUUCUCCCGAAGGUCUCUCACACUCUCAGGGCUCCUGAAGCGCUUCAUCUCAGAAGAUCAGAGGAAAGAAGCUUCAUGGUGCCACAAUGAGCCUAAAAUAACACGAGAGCCAAUAACACAAGUGGCUGCAGGCUUCCUGGACGUCAGAAGGAUCUUAUUUGAUUCAAUGAAAAAGUGCUGCUACUGUGUGAAGGUCCUUCACUUGUCCGCUGCCUUCAUUUCCUGUGGGUCAUCCUGGUCAACAUCACAAUCAUCAUCCCACAGUUCAGGAUGGGGGAGUUCUCCAUCUGUAAUCAAAGCCCCCCCUCUAAUUCAGGAACCCGAGGGCCUCGGCCACUGACCUUCUCAACAGCAACAGGAAUUCAUAAAGUAAGCGGAGCGGCCGGGGAUCAAAUCCCACCGCUUUACCCACGAGGCCGGUGUGAGUGCUGCUUCUCUGGUGGUUACCGCGGGUUACCUUAGCGUGGACUGAAUGGAACAUAUGCGGAUCUAAUAAUAUCCUUCCACCAUGCAUAUUUCAUGUGUUUCUUUGCAGCUAUUUCUCAAAUCUGCUCCGAGAGUCACUUAGUCGUAUAUUCCAGAUGUCAGCGGCUCCUCUGCAGAUCAGGUUCCAUUUCCUGCCUUAAUUUCCAAAUUAAGGCCCAUGUUUAAUUCACGGCCAACACAUGCGUUCUAAUCUCACUACGCUGAAUAAUUGAGGGAAAAUAUGACAGAUGAUGUGGGAAACAUUGGUUCUGGGACUUAAUCAAACCACAGAGUGUAAACGGCACCUUCGGCCACAAUGUUAUCUUUGACGUGUUAUUGACCGAUUAUCAGCUGGACCAAUCAGCAGCCAUUCUUUGUACCCCAGGAAAUGACAAAUACCGACUUAAGCGUCAGAUUGAAUGGUUCAUAUUCAUCUAGGGAGUCGCUGAAGCACAUCUUUCCACUAUUACUGUGAUAACUACAAGUAUUAUGAUCAGGGCGUCGCCUCUUUUCUCUUAGUUUGAAUAUCCAUAUUGUCAGAUAUAGAUCAGCUGGUCUUCAGGGAUCCAGACUGAAGUCAACUGGACUCCAGCUGACCUGCUGCAUGCGGGUCAGGACCGGGUCCGAUCACCUGCCUGCAUGAGUCUGCCGGGUUCUGAGCCUCCGGCGUCCGAUUUUGGAAUCAAAUCCUUUGGAAUGUUACAUCUGAGUUGUAACACAAUUUGUGUCUCACUGAUCAUUAACAUACGGAUCAAUAACACACCGCGUAUAGAUUUCAUUCUUUGCCUCGGGCAGAUGAUUUCUCACGGCGGUUUCUUCAGGCUGAGCCCGACGCGUGAACGCGAUGUUUCUCCUUCCUCAGGAACCCAGCCGCUCUGCCGGCCCCUGGACCAGCGGGGCCUCCGAGUCCUGUGGACUGAGCGGGGACACAGAGUGGGGUCCAUCGGAGAGACUCCUCAGGGUGUUGGAGAGGACCUGGCAGGCUGACAUUCUCCCAGAUCUUCCUUUUUUACCGCGAGCACACCUGGAAUCAGCCCUCAUCGCUCAUGGGGGCCAGAAACACAAAGCGGCCCUCAAGAAGUCCAAAUGAGACGCUUUCAUCAAGCAAACAGAAACCAGACAAAGAGAGAGAGAUGAGAACCAAGUGGAAAGAGAGGAACUCUCACAUGAUGAUCAAUAUCUUCAGUUGUUGAAGAUUUAUAAGCGCUUCAUGUUUAAAACCCUGAGGCGAGGCUACCUGCUGAGGAUCACGUCUCUCCAGGGGAGAACCCACCAGUGGACGUGAUGAGUCGUUGUGUGGUUCAUUUGGUUGGUUCAACCAAUCUACUAAGUAACUUGAAUGAAAUGAAAUGAAAUAUUCAAAAGUAAAGUUCUGUACAACCUUCUCGGUCCAAAGCGCGGGUUGUUGUUACGCUUCAUAUGUGACGAGUCGCCCGGCUGAGCUGCUGCUCGGUGGAGCUCACACUUUGUAACCACGUCAUGGAUCACGGAUGGAGGGGAUGAGGAGGAUGAGGAUGAAGGCGGCGAGCGUUGAUUUAAUGAAUCACAUGAUAACGCGCCGCAGACGGAGCUCACUUCAGAGAAAUAAUAGUUCAACUGAUUGCUUUUUGAAGGUGACAGCUUAUUCGCUUGAGUGAAGCCCAGAAAUAGAAAGAAUAAAAAAAACAAAUGGCUGACAGUCAACCGGGAAGU
ensembl:lncRNA